AUGAUGCACAUCAUGUCAGAUUUCUAUGGGACAGAACUCAUUGUACCUUAUAGCACAAAGUACAUUACAAACCUCAAUACGCUCUUGAACAAGGAUGAUACAAAAGAAGGGGAUAUGAUAGAGACAGUUGCUUACUUUAAAGAUCAGCAGAGAGAGGAUCCAGAUUUUUUUUACAAGAUAAAAUAUGAUGAGGAAGACAGGGUUGAGAAUAUUUUCUGGGUCGAUGGUGCAGCAAGGAAGGCGUACGUGGAAUCUUAUCAUGAUUGUAUCUCCUUUGACACAACGUAUAUGACUAACAUGUACACCAUGCCCUUUGCACCAUUCAUUGGGAUUAACAGGCAUGGGCAGUCAUUCAUGUUGGGUUGCGGCUUUGUUAGGCAAGAUUUGGCGUCAAGCUUUGAUUGGCUAUUCGAAACCUUCCUUGAGGCAAUGCAUAAUGUAGCACCCACCAAUAUCAUAACCGACCAAGACAUCGCAAUGGCACAAUCAAUUAAAAAGAUCUUUCCUACAAGUGUGCACCGCUGUUGCCGCUGGCAUAUUAUGAAAAAGACACAAGAAAAGCUUUGA
rnacentral:rRNA from 1 species